GACGAACGCUGGCGGCGUGCUUAACACAUGCAAGUCGAACGAAGAGCGAUGGAAGCUUGCUUCUAUCAAUCUUAGUGGCGAACGGGUGAGUAACGCGUAAUCAACCUGCCCUUCAGAGGGGGACAACAGUUGGAAACGACUGCUAAUACCGCAUACGAUCUAAUCUCGGCAUCGAGGAUAGAUGAAAGGUGGCCUCUACAUGUAAGCUAUCACUGAAGGAGGGGAUUGCGGCUGAUUAGCUAGUUGGAGGGGUAACGGCCCACCAAGGCGAUGAUCAGUAGCCGGUCUGAGAGGAUGAACGGCCACAUUGGGACUGAGACACGGCCCAGACUCCUACGGGAGGCAGCAGUGGGGAAUCUUCCGCAAUGGACGAAAGUCUGACGGAGCAACGCCGCGUGAGUGAUGACGGCCUUCGGGUUGUAAAGCUCGGUUAAUCGGGACGAAAGGCCUUCUUGCGAAUAGUGAGAAGGAUUGACGGUACCGGAAUAGAAAGCCACGGCUAACUACGUG
rnacentral:rRNA from 1 species